GACGAACGCUGGCGGCGUGCUUAACACAUGCAAGUCGAACGGUAAGGCCCUUCGGGGUACACGAGUGGCGAACGGGUGAGUAACACGUGGGUGAUCUGCCCUGCACUUCGGGAUAAGCCUGGGAAACUGGGUCUAAUACCGGAUAGGACUCCGGACUGCAUGGUCUGGGGUGGAAAGCUUUUGCGGUGUGGGAUGGGCCCGCGGCCUAUCAGCUUGUUGGUGGGGUGAUGGCCUACCAAGGCGACGACGGGUAGCCGGCCUGAGAGGGUGACCGGCCACACUGGGACUGAGAUACUGCCCAGACUCCUACGGGAGGCAGCAGUGGGGAAUAUUGCACAAUGGGCGCAAGCCUGAUGCAGCGACGCCGCGUGAGGGAUGACGGCCUUCGGGUUGUAAACCUCUUUCAGCACCGACGAAGCGCAAGUGACGGUAGGUGCAGAAGAAGGACCGGCCAACUACAUGCCAGCCGCCGCCGUAA
rnacentral:rRNA from 1 species